rnacentral:lncRNA from 1 species
AAUGCAACUAUCUCUAUUCAAGGAGAUAUAAGUGACAACUUACACCUUUAUUUACAGGCCCACUGGAGAGCAUACUUGUGAUUACAGUAAAUUAUAUGUAUCAAGAAGAAAAGGGGACCAAACCUGAGUCCCUCCAGGAGUUUGGGCAGGAGCCCUCUUGA